CAUGGUCUUAGCUUGCUAAGGCCGAUGGCGACCGGCGCACGGGUGAGUAACACGUAUCCAACCUGCCGUCUACUCUUGGACAGCCUUCUGAAAGGAAGAUUAAUACAAGAUGGCAUCAUGAGUCCGCAUGUUCACAUGAUUAAAGGUAUUCCGGUAGACGAUGGGGAUGCGUUCCAUUAGUUGUUGCGGGUAACGGCCCACCAAGACUACGAUGGAUAGGGGUUCUGAGAGGAAGGUCCCCACAUUGGAACUGAGACACGGUCCAAACUCC
rnacentral:rRNA from 1 species